UACAAGUUAACCUGGGACGCGGCUAACUACUGCGGUGUUGAGAUGGAACUCUCGGAACACAUUUGGUUGCCAGACUUAGUGCUUAGUAAUUGAAAUGAAUAUUAUGAGCUGAUUAGCAGCGGUCCGACUUAUUACGGAAAUAUUUCCACUGUUGCAGAGCGCGAAAAACUUAAGAAGAUCCCAUAACCAUUAGAAGUGUCCCAAGUGCCUACUUCUACCCAUUUAGCCUGUGGCCAUAUAUCUAGCAGACUGUAGUGAAGAUUACGAGAGAUCAAGAAGAAAGAUGAAAUAUGUUUUCUAGGAUUAUUUAUAGGGA